CCGGCGGCGGACGUGCGUGAGCGCACCUCGCGCGCUCCCUGCUCCUCUCAAGCCAAUCGGCGGCCGAGGCCAGCGGGCCCCAGGCGCGCUCGCGCUCUCCAGCCAAUCCGCGGCCGCCGCCUCGCGCGCUCCCGCCGCUGCCCCAGCGCGCGCCGGCGGCGGCUCGCAGCGCCCCCACGUGGGGCUGAGGGGGCGGCCGUGCCCGGAGCGGCGGCACCGCGGGCCCGGGGAGGCGGCUGCGGAGCCGGCAAACGGCCGCAGAAUGGUUCCCAGACUCACUGCACCGCUUUCCCGGCACGGAGGAGGGGCUGGACCUGCCGUGCCCUUCCUGAGGGCACAAGUGACGUUUGCUUUGCCCAGGCCGCAGGGACACCCCAGAUCCCCACGAUCUGUCAGCCGGAGCUGGGAACGGCCUCGCGCUCGCACCAGCCGCUCCCGAGUCCUCCGGAACAGACUGUUCCCUUCUCACACGCUGUGGGUUGCUCAGCGAAAACAGGACAAUAUAGUCACGCUGCUGUGUACUUAGUCUCCUGGCUUAAAGCCUUUCUUUAACAGAGGGGAAAGCAAGGCCGGGCUGUGGCCCAAACCAAAGUCACUGCCUGGGAGAGGAGAUGAAUGGGUACCGUUUGCACAAAACUCUUUCCAUUCCCUUGUGCUCUGGCAGCACAGUUGCCCCCGGGAUGCUCAGGAUUGCUCCAUUCUCCGUCACCGCCUCUCCAAGCCAUUCCAGGGAAAACGUUUUAAAAAGAGGAACUGCAGCAAAAGUGCGGAGGAUAUUUCUGCAGCCAAACAGCAGCGGACAGUGUGCGGAGAGGGCGCGUCCUUACGUACAGUGCACCGGAGUAGUCUCGGGACAAUGAGCUGGGUAUGAGCAGGAGAGGUUUGUGCCGCGGUGCGAAGGCGGCGGCCGUACCCCGGUGGGGUCCCCGCCUGGGGUCUCAGGACGCUCUGCACACACAGCGGGCUCCUCUGCUUGGCCUGGGCGCCGGGAGCCACUUCCUGACUGGGACUGGAGGUUAUUCCGUUAGAUAAGACAGACGUUUAAGCAGGUGCAGGGGUAGAUAAGGGGUUUAUGGGUGCUAACAGUGCCAUGUUGGGUGAAUAAAGAGACUUUUAAAUGCCUGUAUCUUUGUAAACGGA